rnacentral:sRNA from 1 species
UAAUAGGGAUUUUAGUGGACGACUAUUC